GUGCUUACACAUGCAAGUCGAGCGAUGAGNNACUUCGGUGAAGGAUUAGCGGCGAACGGGUGAGGAACACGUGAAGAAUCUGCCUUCAACUCUGGGAUAACUCCGGGAAACCGGGGCUAAUACCGGAUAUGAGCCUUGAUCGCAUGAUCGGGGCUGGAAAGUUUUUCGGUUGAAGAUGACUUCGCGGCCUAUCAGCUUGUUGGUGAGGUAAUGGCUCACCAAGGCGACGACGGGUAGCCGGCCUGAGAGGGCGACCGGCCACACUGGGACUGAGACACGGCCCAGACUCCUACGGGAGGCAGCAGUGGGGAAUAUUGGGCAAUGGACGAAAGUCUGACCCAGCGACGCCGCGUGCGGGAUGAAGGCCUUCGGGUUGUAAACCGCUUUCAGCAGGGAAUAAGCGCAAGUGAAGGUACCUGCAGAAGAAGCACCGGCUAACUAUGUGCCAGCAGCCGCGGUAAUACAUAGGGUGCAAGCGUUGUCCGGAAUUAUUGGGCGUAAAGAGCUCGUAGGUGGUUUGUUACGUCGGUUGUGAAAUUCAGGGGCUCAACCCCUGACUUGCAGCCGAUACGGGCAAGCUAGAGUUUGGUAGGGGAGACUGGAAUUCCUGGUGUAGCGGUGGAAUGCGCAGAUAUCAGGAGGAACACCGAUGGCGAAGGCAGGUCUCUGGGCCAAUACUGACACUGAGGAGCGAAAGCGUGGGGAGCGAACAGGAUUAGAUACCCUGGUAGUCCACGCCGUAAACGGUGGGCGCUAGUUGUGCGAACCUUCCACGGUUUGUGCGACGCAGCUAACGCAUUAAGCGCCCCGCCUGGGGAGUACGAUCGCAAGAUUAAAACUCAAAUGAAUUGAC
rnacentral:rRNA from 1 species